rnacentral:rRNA from 1 species
UUGAAAAGUGAGCGGAUGAACUGAGGGUAGCGGAGAAAUUCCAAUCGAACCUGGAGAUAGCUGGUUCUCUCCGAAAUAGCUUUAGGGCUAGCCUCAAGUGAUGAUUAUUGGAGGUAGAGCACUGUUUGGACGAGGGGCCCCUCUCGGGUUACCGAAUUCAGACAAACUCCGAAUGCCAAUUAAUUUAACUUGGGAGUCAGAACAUGGGUGAUAAGGUCCGUGUUCGAAAGGGAAACAGCCCAGACCACCAGCUAAGGUCCCAAAAUAUAUGUUAAGUGGAAAAGGAUGUGGCGUUGCCCAGACAACUAGGAUGUUGGCUUAGAAGCAGCCAUCAUUUAAAGAGUGCGUAAUAGCUCACUAGUCGAGUGACACUGCGCCGAAAAUGUACCGGGGCUAAACAUAUUACCGAAGCUGUGGAUUGUCCUUUGGACAAUGGUAGGAGAGCGUUCUAAGGGCGUUGAAGCAUGAUCGUAAGGACAUGUGGAGCGCUUAGAAGUGAGAAUGCCGGUGUGAGUAGCGAAAGACGGGUGAGAAUCCCGUCCACCGAUUGACUAAGGUUUCC